CUCAGAAACAGCAGGGGCCUUGUUGGGAACUGAUUCCCCUUGGACCUGCUGGUGCAGUAAACUGUACUCCAUUGUCUUGCAUGUCCUCCGAGGUGUGCUUUUCGACUCUGGAUUCCACAACACUGAUGAUUGCUCACACAGAAUUUGGAGUCUAUGGCAAAGAUCACAUAUCAGGCUUCUGCGAUGGACCAGGCAUUGUAAUAGGCACUCAAGAAACAAGGAUAUUCCCAGUCCUCAAGGAUCUUCCCUUCUGGUUUGCGAGGAAAUGACUUGGUAGCCUGGUUCUCAUAGAAGCUGCCAGUAGGAAUUGCCCCACUCUCCCACCUUCAGAAACUCUGCUCGCAUGCACCUGCAACAGCAAUGGAGCUCGGUCCAAAACUCAGCUCUAAGUACAUGUUAGAAAUUUUGAACCAUAAAACAAAAAUCUAGGUCUGAGUUCAUGUUAAGAGUAAUUCCACAGAGAAGAAAUUCCUGGAGCACUUUUAAAAAACAAUGGUAAUAACACCCCCCUACUGAAGAGGAAAGCUUUGAGCCAUCCAUAAAAAAAAAAAAGUCACAAAGCCAAGCCAUUAGAGUGUCCCAUUUCUUGGAAACAGUCAAUAAAAUAAAUUUGCAGUUAAAGUUGUAGGUAUUGCCCCUUGGAUCCAUCAUAUGAGGGUGAAGAGAGCAUGCCAUGCAGACCCAGAAAAUGCUGAGUGGACUGCGCAGAGGGACCCCUCUGACCCUUGAGAGACUAAGAUCAUCCUUAAGAAGAAGAGGAAAAAGAAGAUCCUGGAUGAGCCCCUUCAGGAUGAAGCCACAUAAUCAACUCCUGCUGCUUGGUCUCAUCAGUGUGCACAUUCCUAUGUGGACUUCCACUAUACCUCCAACUGCUGGAUGUUUUUGCAACUGGAACCUUAAAAAGCUGGAGGGGACAGCUGAAUACCUAGUAGUAUUUCACAGACACCUGUGCCAAGCCCCUGGGAGCAGUGCGGUCAGACAUACAAAUCUGGAUGCAAUUCCCUCUUCUACCACUGCUGAGCUUUGCAGAUUAAAAGUCGCAGAACUCUUCAGAACCUAACCUUCCUUAUCUGUAAAGUAAGCAUGAUAAUAACUGCUUGGGAAGAUUAAGGGAAUGAUUGAUAUGAACUGCCUUGAACACAGUGUCUAGCGCAUGGUAAGAGCUCUAUAAAUUUUACUGCCCUGGA